AACUACUGUAGUGAUCGGUCCAACCUUCAUUAUUCUCUCUUUCAGCUCUUUCAACCUGUUCUGCAUCAUUUGGAUCAGUUCAAGGUUUUUUGCAGUCGAAUGAGAAAGCUUAAUUUACCACAUUUGGGAAAACAUCAGGGGGCUGCUCAAUUCUCUUUGCCACCAGUUGCUGAAUAACAUUGUAGCCAAUGACUGGAGGCUGCCCCAUGCCUUGCUCAUUUGAGACAAGCACUGGUACCAGAAGUUCGAUCUGAGCACCUCUUUUUGGCCCUAGUUGGAGUUUCAAUUCCACCCUUCCAGGGCAUGGGAUAUAUGUUGGGUUGCUGCUUGGCCAGUGAGGGUUUCAGCUUCAUCCAACAGGACAUGUUGUCAUGCUGUUAGCUGCAUGUUGCUAGGUGGGUGUGGUGGAAAAAUUCAUUUAACAUUGCUUCUGUAUACCUAUAUAAGCAUGUGUUUUCUUUUCUUUACUGUGUGGGUUCAGAAGGGUGACACCUGGGGGGGAAAACAGAUGUCUGAAAAUGACCUGAGGGGGUCAUUGGGCCAUAUAGUGGGGGGACGAUGUCUGAGGAUGACCUGAGGGGGUCACCUAAGUCCUAAAUGUGUUUGAAACAGCCCAUAGAGAGUGUUCCUUGUUAUGUGUGGAAAUUUACAGCUGCUGAAACUGUGUAACCUUGGAAGAGCAGAGGUAUAUAAGGUGGAGGACUGCCCUCUUCCUGGGUCGGUUUCACUCUGCAGAAACUCAGUGUUGCUGUCUGACCUUCUUUGCAAAGAAUAAAAGCUUUCUUUUUUAAUUAUACCUGAGAAUGAGUCUGUGUCUUAUGCUGAUGAGAGUUUAUUUAAAUUUUGCCACGACAAUUUGGUGUCAGAAAGUGGGAUUCCUUGGAUGUGUCUUCUAGACCUGUGAGCGGACGGUGACUGAUCAUCCUGAACAAUAGAAGUUCAGCCCUAACCCCGAUUAGAUUUGAGGGAGAAAGGGACCGACCGCCGAGGGCCAGAGGAGACACCACUGGAAUCAGGAAAGAACCGGAGUGGCAACAGAGCUCUCGGUCUGUGUUCAGGUGAAAGCUCCUCAGGAGAAGGUUGCUGAAACACCGUUGCACGACCUGAAACCAGGGGAUUCGUGAUGAUACGAGCAGAGAGAGCAACGUGGAUCCAGGCUAACCACUGCAGAAAGGUCCCACCUGCAUCUGAGGAAGAGGAGCGGAGGGAGUAAGGAUCUGGAGACACACAUGUCAACAAAGGCCAGGAAUCCAGCCUAAACAUCAAGCGUCCUUAUCAGCGGGAAGAGCAAGGUUAAGACUGAAAAACAGCAUUGAAGUAGUCUGCGCGCAAGUGAAAAGAUAACUAUGAUCAUCAUAGUUGGGUACAUCAUGUUGUUUUCAUAUUCCAGACUACAGUGACAACGUUACCAAUAUCAUCACCCACAUGAGAAAGGCCGUAAAAGAGCCUGACCAUACACAUAAUGCUGCUAAAUGAUUUUUGCUGCUAUUAUGUCUACCAUGUUUUUCUUUUUUUUAGUUGAUAUCCAGCUCAGUACAGAGACUGGUGAAGUUUAGUGUUUCACAUCAAAUGGUUCAAUUGACUGUGUACAAUGAAGACGUUAUCAUGGAUUUGAGUAGGGAGAAAACUACUGAUGAAGGGACAAACAGUAGCGGAAGCUACAGUGAAAUGUGUUAAAUGUAUGAGAUUUAUGAUAUUUUUUUUCUUUGAAGAAAGAAAUGUUCAGGCCUAUCUGAAUGUAUGCUGUUUGCUUGCUUGAAAAAGGGUCUGUCCCCUUAUAAAAAGCCUUAGUAUAUUUUCUAAAUUCUUGUGAGUGAUCAUUUAUGCGAAGAUCAGGGAUGAAGAGUAUAAAUGUGAUGAAAUGCCUUAAGUUUGCUUUAUUUUGAAUCAUGUAUGUAUUUCUGAGUGUGAAAUUUUUGAUUUUGGAUUGUGUUUGUAUCUGCGACGUGACUGAGGGUCUGACUCGUGUCAGGAAUGCAGUAGCAGUGACUUACUCGUUUAGCCCGGUGAGUGUGUAGUGGAAAUAUAACCAGUAGAAAUGAAUAUUUAUGUUUUAUUGAUCAAUGAAUGAUAAAAACGGGGAAAUUGUGGUGGAAAAAUUCAUUUAACAUUGCUUCUGUAUGCCUAUAUAAGCAUGUGUUUUCUUUUCUUUACUGUGUGGGUUCAGAAGGGUGACACCUGGGGGGAAAACAGAUGUCUGAGGAUGACCUGAGGGGGUCACCUAAGUCCUAAAUGUGUUUGAAACAGCCCAUAGAGAGUGUUCCUAGUUUUGUGUGGAAAUUUACAGCUGCUGAAACUGUGUAACCUUGGAAGAGCAGAGGUAUAUAAGGUGGAGGACUGCCCUCUUCCUGGGUCGGUUUCACUCUGCAGGAACUCAGUGUUGCUGUCUGACCUUCUUUGCAAAGAAUAAAAGCUUUCUUUUUUAAUUA